ACUUCUUUAUCACCGAGUGCUUGCACUCACCGAUAAAGAGUUGAGUGGCGAACGGGUGAGUAACACGUGGGCAACCUGCCCAAAAGAGGGGGAUAACACUUGGAAACAGGUGCUAAUACCGCAUAACCAUAGUUACCGCAUGGUAACUAUGUAAAAGGUGGCUAUGCUACCGCUUUUGGAUGGGCCCGCGACGCAUUAGCUAGUUGGUGGGGUAAAGGCUUACCAAGGCAAUGAUGCGUAGCCGAACUGAGAGGUUGAUCGGCCACAUUGGGACUGAGACACGGCCCAAACUCCUACGGGAGGCAGCAGUAGGGAAUCUUCCACAAUGGGCGAAAGCCUGAUGGAGCAACGCCGCGUGGGUGAAGAAGGUCUUCGGAUCGUAAAACCCUGUUGUUAGAGAAGAAAGUGCGUGAGAGUAACUGUUCACGUUUCGACGGUAUCUAACCAGAAAGCCACGGCUAACUACGUGCCAGCAGCCGCGGUAAUACGUAGGUGGCAAGCGUUAUCCGGAUUUAUUGGGCGUAAAGAGAACGCAGGCGGUCUUUUAAGUCUGAUGUGAAAGCCUUCGGCUUAACCGGAGUAGUGCAUUGGAAACUGGGAGACUUGAGUGCAGAAGAGGAGAGUGGAACUCCAUGUGUAGCGGUGAAAUGCGUAGAUAUAUGGAAGAACACCAGUGGCGAAAGCGGCUCUCUGGUCUGUAACUGACGCUGAGGUUCGAAAGCGUGGGUAGCAAACAGGAUUAGAUACCCUGGUAGUCCACGCCGUAAAC
rnacentral:rRNA from 1 species